rnacentral:rRNA from 1 species
UACGUAGGGUGCGAGCGUUGUCCGGAAUUAUUGGGCGUAAAGGGCUCGUAGGCGGUUUGUCACGUCGGGAGUGAAACUCGGGGCUUAACCCCGAGCCUGCUUCCGAUACGGGCAGACUAGAGGUAUGCAGGGGAGAACGGAAUUCCUGGUGUAGCGGUGAAAUGCGCAGAUAUCAGGAGGAACACCGGUGGCGAAGGCGGUUCUCUGGGCAUUACCUGACGCUGAGGAGCGAAAGUGUGGGGAGCGAACAGG